rnacentral:rRNA from 1 species
GGGUUGUGAGGUUAAGCGACUAAGCGUACACGGUGGAUGCCCUGGCAGUCAGAGGCGAUGAAGGACGUGCUAAUCUGCGAUAAGCGUCGGUAAGGUGAUAUGAACCGUUAUAACCGGCGAUUUCCGAAUGGGGAAACCCAGUGUGUUUCGACACACUAUCAUUAACUGAAUCCAUAGGUUAAUGAGGCGAACCGGGGGAACUGAAACAUCUAAGUACCCCGAGGAAAAGAAAUCAACCGAGAUUCCCCCAGUAGCGGCGAGCGAACGGGGAGCAGCCCAGAGCCUGAAUCAGUGUGUGUGUUAGUGGAAGCGUCUGGAAAGGCGCGCGAUACAGGGUGACAGCCCCGUACACAAAAAUGCACAUGCUGUGAGCUCGAUGAGUAGGGCGGGACACGUGGUAUCCUGUCUGAAUAUGGGGGGACCAUCCUCCAAGGCUAAAUACUCCUGACUGACCGAUAGUGAACCAGUACCGUGAGGGAAAGGCGAAAAGAACCCCGGCGAGGGGAGUGAAAAAGAACCUGAAACCGUGUACGUACAAGCAGUGGGAGCACGCUUCGGCGUGUGACUGCGUACCUUUUGUAUAAUGGGUCAGCGACUUAUAUUCUGUAGCAAGGUUAACCGAAUAGGGGAGCCGAAGGGAAACCGAGUCUUAACUGGGCGUUAAGUUGCAGGGUAUAGACCCGAAACCCGGUGAUCUAGCCAUGGGCAGGUUGAAGGUUGGGUAACACUAACUGGAGGACCGAACCGACUAAUGUUGAAAAAUUAGCGGAUGACUUGUGGCUGGGGGUGAAAGGCCAAUCAAACCGGGAGAUAGCUGGUUCUCCCCGAAAGCUAUUUAGGUAGCGCCUCGUGAAUUCAUCUCCGGGGGUAGAGCACUGUUUCGGCAAGGGGGUCAUCCCGACUUACCAACCCGAUGCAAACUGCGAAUACCGGAGAAUGUUAUCACGGGAGACACACGGCGGGUGCUAACGUCCGUCGUGAAGAGGGAAACAACCCAGACCGCCAGCUAAGGUCCCAAAGUCAUGGUUAAGUGGGAAACGAUGUGGGAAGGCCCAGACAGCCAGGAUGUUGGCUUAGAAGCAGCCAUCAUUUAAAGAAAGCGUAAUAGCUCACUGGUCGAGUCGGCCUGCGCGGAAGAUGUAACGGGGCUAAACCAUGCACCGAAGCUGCGGCAGCGACGCUUAUGCGUUGUUGGGUAGGGGAGCGUUCUGUAAGCCUGCGAAGGUGUGCUGUGAGGCAUGCUGGAGGUAUCAGAAGUGCGAAUGCUGACAUAAGUAACGAUAAAGCGGGUGAAAAGCCCGCUCGCCGGAAGACCAAGGGUUCCUGUCCAACGUUAAUCGGGGCAGGGUGAGUCGACCCCUAAGGCGAGGCCGAAAGGCGUAGUCGAUGGGAAACAGGUUAAUAUUCCUGUACUUGGUGUUACUGCGAAGGGGGGACGGAGAAGGCUAUGUUGGCCGGGCGACGGUUGUCCCGGUUUAAGCGUGUAGGCUGGUUUUCCAGGCAAAUCCGGAAAAUCAAGGCUGAGGCGUGAUGACGAGGCACUACGGUGCUGAAGCAACAAAUGCCCUGCUUCCAGGAAAAGCCUCUAAGCAUCAGGUAACAUCAAAUCGUACCCCAAACCGACACAGGUGGUCAGGUAGAGAAUACCAAGGCGCUUGAGAGAACUCGGGUGAAGGAACUAGGCAAAAUGGUGCCGUAACUUCGGGAGAAGGCACGCUGAUAUGUAGGUGAAGUCCCUCGCGGAUGGAGCUGAAAUCAGUCGAAGAUACCAGCUGGCUGCAACUGUUUAUUAAAAACACAGCACUGUGCAAACACGAAAGUGGACGUAUACGGUGUGACGCCUGCCCGGUGCCGGAAGGUUAAUUGAUGGGGUCAGCGCAAGCGAAGCUCUUGAUCGAAGCCCCGGUAAACGGCGGCCGUAACUAUAACGGUCCUAAGGUAGCGAAAUUCCUUGUCGGGUAAGUUCCGACCUGCACGAAUGGCGUAAUGAUGGCCAGGCUGUCUCCACCCGAGACUCAGUGAAAUUGAACUCGCUGUGAAGAUGCAGUGUACCCGCGGCAAGACGGAAAGACCCCGUGAACCUUUACUAUAGCUUGACACUGAACAUUGAGCCUUGAUGUGUAGGAUAGGUGGGAGGCUUGGAAGUGUGGACGCCAGUCUGCAUGGAGCCGACCUUGAAAUACCACCCUUUAAUGUUUGAUGUUCUAACGUUGACCCGUGAUCCGGGUUGCGGACAGUGUCUGGUGGGUAGUUUGACUGGGGCGGUCUCCUCCUAAAGAGUAACGGAGGAGCACGAAGGUUGGCUAAUCCUGGUCGGACAUCAGGAGGUUAGUGCAAUGGCAUAAGCCAGCUUGACUGCGAGCGUGACGGCGCGAGCAGGUGCGAAAGCAGGUCAUAGUGAUCCGGUGGUUCUGAAUGGAAGGGCCAUCGCUCAACGGAUAAAAGGUACUCCGGGGAUAACAGGCUGAUACCGCCCAAGAGUUCAUAUCGACGGCGGUGUUUGGCACCUCGAUGUCGGCUCAUCACAUCCUGGGGCUGAAGUAGGUCCCAAGGGUAUGGCUGUUCGCCAUUUAAAGUGGUACGCGAGCUGGGUUUAGAACGUCGUGAGACAGUUCGGUCCCUAUCUGCCGUGGGCGCUGGAGAACUGAGGGGGGCUGCUCCUAGUACGAGAGGACCGGAGUGGACGCAUCACUGGUGUUCGGGUUGUCAUGCCAAUGGCACUGCCCGGUAGCUAAAUGCGGAAGAGAUAAGUGCUGAAAGCAUCUAAGCACGAAACUUGCCCCGAGAUGAGUUCUCCCUGACUCCUUGAGAGUCCUGAAGGAACGUUGAAGACGACGACGUUGAUAGGCCGGGUGUGUAAGCGCAGCGAUGCGUUGAGCUAACCGGUACUAAUGAACCGUGAGGCUUAACCUUACAACGCCGAAGGUGUUU